rnacentral:rRNA from 1 species
UACGUAGGGGGCAAGCGUUGUCCGGAAUCAUUGGGCGUAAAGCGCGUGUAGGCGGCUGAGUAAGUCUGCUCUGAAAGCCCGGGGCUCAACCCGGGAGGCGGGUGGAUACUGCUCAGCUCGAGUCCGGAAGAGGAGUGUGGAAUUCCUGGUGUAGCGGUGAAAUGCGCAGAUAUCAGGAGGAACACCAAUGGCGAAGGCAGCACUCUGGACUGCAACUGACGCUGAGACACGAAAGCGUGGGUAGCAAACAGG